CUAUAUAUCUUGAGAAGCUAAAACGAAUAGCAAUCUGAUGAUCCGGUGGGAACUGGGAAGUAUAUAUAUAUUGCCUAACUACCCAUGUUAAUUCCUAAUUAGCCAGGAAAAACGGCAACGGCCGCGGAGUACUCUUCGCAGGCGCCGGAGGAAGCCGCUGCCGCUCGGAGCUUGCCGUCGCCAGCCACACAGAGACCGUGCCGCUGCCGCUUCUUCCCGUGCCUUCUCUGGCCAAGUCGCAUAUGGCCACCGCCCGUCGUAUACCUAGAAGAAGGGGGAAGCACGCGGAGAUAGCUACAUAGUCACAUAGGGAAGCGACGAUGGCUACCUACGAAGGUUGUGCCAAAAACAAUACGAGUGCAUCUGCAUGUGGUCUAUGGAGAAGCUCUGGUACUCACUGUGUUGCUGCAGUUCCUUCUGUAGUGAAGCUCGGGAUGUUGUUGAUCUCAGUCCUGACAAGCUGCCGCGGUGAAGCUUCAAAACACUGUUAGAAUCAAGUGCGCUUUUUCUAUGAUGUUGAACUGAAUUAUACUAGUGAUGGAAAAUGCUAAUCUCUGAUGGUAUGCAUUCAACUUUCCUAAAUGUAGUAGUUUAAAUUC